GGAAGGAUCAUUACAAAUGUUAAGGGUGUCCUCAGGGGCCCCCAAGCAAACACAUGCCUUGUGUAUUCCUCCUGCCGGUCCCUCAAUCCUUGCGUCGCAGUAGGGGCUGAGGUGCCCAGCGGAGGGCCCAUUUUUAACCCUUUGCUAAACCUGUCUUAUGAGAUGGCCCCGUGCCAGAAUCUUUAAACAUUUUAAAACUUUCAACAACGGAUCUCUUGGCUCUCGCAUCGAUGAAGAACGCAGCGAAAUGCGAUAAGUAAUGUGAAUUGCAGAAUUCAGUGAAUCAUCGAAUCUUUGAACGCACAUUGCGCCCUCUGGCAUUCCUCAGGGCAUGCCUGUUCGAGCGUCACUAACAACCAUCUCACAUGCAAUGUGGUCUUGGCUCAUGUGUAUAGCGCCUCCUGUGCUGACUUCACUAAGCUGAAAUGAAUAGGCCAGAUAAGCAAACCAUGGCAACUGACUCACAGAGUAUCUAACAAUGCUAAACUAGUCGCUAGCUGGUAUGAAUCUGUGCCAGUGGACCCCCCCGUUCAUUCAAAUGAGACAUGUUGACCUCGGAUCAGGUAGGGAUACCCGCUGAACUUAAGCAUAUCAAUAAGCGGAGGAA
rnacentral:rRNA from 1 species